rnacentral:rRNA from 1 species
UACGGGGGGAGCAAGCGUUGUUCGGAUUUACUGGGCGUAAAGGGCGCGUAGGCGGCCACCGCAAGUCGACUGUGAAAUCUCCGGGCUUAACCCGGAAAGGUCCAGCCGAUACUGCGGGGCUAGAGUGCAGAAGGGGCAACUGGGAAUUCUCGGUGUAGCGGUGAAAUGCGUAGAUAUCGAGAGGAACACCUGCGGCGAAGGCGGGUUGCUGGGCUGACACUGACGCUGAUGCGCGAAAGCUAGGGGAGCGAAGCGGG